rnacentral:tRNA from 1 species
UGCCGGAUUGUCUAAUGGUAGGACGGAGGACUCUGACUCCUCUAGUCUAGGUUCGAAUCCUAGUCCGGCAG